CUGGGCCGGGGACCCUUGACCCAGGUUACCGACCGGAAGUGCUCCAGAAACCAAGGCGAGAACCGCCUCACAGGCAGUCCUGAGGCCUCUGAUUACUGCAUGUCAAGGAGACAGCCGAUCCCAUUUGAAAAUAAACUGCUUUCCCUCCCGAGUGGGAUGUAGCGUCCCCAUCGCAUGGCCUGAAGCUGGCCAUCCUCCCAAUAGUGGGGAAGGCACUCGCACAAGGAUGCACAUUCUGACUCCACACUCUCAACCCUCAGUGGAGCUGGUCGCAGACCCCGGGACCAAGACUGUGACAGUGAAACAGCUGGGAAUUAACCCCUCAACUGCUGGGACCCAGGAGCUGGCUCCGGGGUCAGAAGGUUCUCUGAGGUUGGGGGACACACUGUAUUUGGUCAACGGCCUCCACCCGCUAACCCUGCGCUGGGAAGAGGCCCGCACGCCUGAAUCCCAGCAGGACACUCCGCCCCGCACCCCUCCGGUGGCUCCAGACGUGGCACAGGAUGUUGAGCCGCAGAAAAAGCGGAUGCGAAAGUCAUCCCCGGGCUGGGAGAAGUUCGAGAAGCUGCUAGUGUUUACUGCACCUGGGGUGAAGCCCCGCGGCAAGGUGGCCGGCUUUGAUCUGGACGGGACCCUCAUCACCACACGCUCUGGGAAGGUCUUUCCCACUGGCCCCAGCGACUGGAGGAUCUUGUAUCUCGAGAUUCCGCGGAAGCUCCGGGAACUGGAUGCCGAGGGCUACAAGCUGGUGAUCUUCACCAACCAGAUGGCCAUUGGGCGUGGGAAGCUGCCAGCAGAGGAGUUCAAGUCUAAAGUGGAGGCCGUGGUGGAGAAACUGGGGCUCCCCUUUCAGGUGCUGGUGGCCACGCACGCCGGCUUGUACCGGAAGCCGGUGGUCGGCAUGUGGGACCAUCUGCAGGAGCAGGCCAACGAGGGUAUGCCCAUCUCCAUCAGGGACAGUGUCUUCGUGGGAGAUGCAGCUGGACGCCCAGCCAACUGGGCCCCUGGGCGGAAGAAGAAAGACUUCUCUUGCGCAGACCGUCUGUUCGCACUCAACCUUGGCCUGCCCUUCGCCACACCGGAGGAGUUCUUUCUGAAGUGGCCUGUGGCCGGCUUUGUGCUCCCGACCUUUGACCCGAGAACCAUCUCUCCCUCGGGGCCGCUCUACCUCCCUGAGUCCAGCUCCCUCUUGAGCUCCGACCCCGAAGUGGUGGUCGCCGUGGGAUUUCCUGGGGCUGGCAAGUCCACCUUCCUCCAGGAGCACCUCGUGUCUGCGGGCUACGUCCACGUGAACAGGGACACGCUGGGCUCGUGGCAGCGCUGUGUGACCAUGUGUGAGAACGCGCUAAAGCAAAGGAAACGGGUUGUGAUCGACAACACCAACCCAGACCCUCCGAGCCGGGCCAGGUACAUUAAGUGUGCCCGAGGCGCAGGGGUCCCCUGCCGCUGCUUCCUCUUCACCACCACCCUGGAGCAGGCUCGCCACAACCACCGGUUCCGAGAGAUGACGGGCUCCUCCCACGCCCCUGUGUCAGAUGUGGUCAUGUACGGCUACAGAAAGCAGUUCGAGGCUCCGACCCUGGCGGAAGGAUUCUCGGCAAUCCUGGAGAUCCCGUUCCGGCUGAAUGUGGAGCCCGCGUUCGAGCGCCUGUACUCCCAGUUCUCGGAGGGCUGAGCGCCCCCCACCUGUCCCUGCCCCUUCCCCUACCUCCACCCCCACCCCCAAUAAAUCCUGUUUUUCUUUAUGCUUGAGCAGCACUGUGCUGGGGAGGAGGGUCUGCUCAGGACAGGCAGGGCUGGGGCACUGGGCUGCUGGCCUGCCCACAGAGGGCAGUUUAGGCUUCUCAGACCCAUGGCUGUGGGCACCCUAGACUGAGGCUGGGGAACCCCCAAGGAGGUGGAGGGAGCUCUUCCCUGCCUGCGGCUGCCCAGCUACCGAGCCAGCCGAGGCUCGAGCGAUGGGACCCUGAGGACGCGGGCUGGCCCCCCGUUUGCCAGGUGCAGCCUGAUGAGCCCACAGGGACGGAGGCGAGGAGACCGGGUCCCAGAACACGGCCGGCCGGCUCUAGGGAGGACAGGCCACCGGCCACAGCUCACCAGGGACGGACCAGCCACUGAGGGCAGCUCCAUGAAGUUCCGCUGCAGGACCUGCUGCUGGUUGGCGAUGACGCGCCGGAUUCCAUUGACGAAGUUGCUCUGGUCGUGGGGGAUGAGGCCGAUGA